rnacentral:snoRNA from 15 species
GCCCUGUGGUUCCUGGAAGCCGGUGGUCAGUCCGGCCUUUCCGGGUGUAGACGGGCCCAGAGAAAGGCAGCAGUGAUGGAUGCGUGGGUCUGCACGCUGGCAGCCCCCACAGCCCGGUCACUGCCACAGGC